CGAACACCUCGACACGCGCAGCCGUGCACACUUGCGGUGAGCGUCUCCGCGCACGUCAGGCAAGUCGACCGCGCUUGUGGCGCUUUGCCCUCUCACAGGUAUCAGAAUGACGAUGUUCCCCCGCCCCCCUUUGCCUUCCUUUCAGGUGACGCUGCUGCCCGAGCCGCCGCCGGUGCGGCAGCAGCAGGCACCGGGUAAGGCACACUCCGCGUCGUCCCCACCAUCGCCGUCAUGCUCCUCACGCGCAUCCAUACAGAUGCAAGAUGAGGCCGCCGCCAAGGCCAUGCUGCACGCUGUCCUUGACAUGGCGUACGACUGCACGAUGCCGCAGCGGCGCUUUUGCAGCUACUCGCCCGAGGCGGUGCUGCGCAGCGUGCGAGCCCUUGUGGACAGCGAUCUCUGCGCUCCCCUGGUGGAGUCGCUGCAAGCCGCCGCGCGGGCGUAUGCACAGCGCUGCGUGGAGGUGCUGAUGGCGCAGCAGCAGCAGCUGCCGCCCGGCGCUGGCACCCCGGAAGGAAUGGCAAACGACGCCACAGAGAGCGACGAGGAGGCCACGGCGCUGUCGGCGAACGCGACGCUGGGCGUGGUUCAAAUUCUGGCACAGCUUGUCACCUACUGGGAGCGACUGCAGCAGGGCCUGGCGGAGCUGUCGUCUGUGUGGGUCUACGCAGACCAGUGGUGCUCGAUGCAAGUCGGCAGCGCCAUGCCGCGUUCCCUGAUCGCUGCCGCCACGCAAGAGAUUCGUGAGGUUUUCAGCGGCUACCCGGAGCUCUGUGACACAGCACUAGCAGGAUACGUGGCCGUGCUAAAGGCGGAGCUGACGGCCGAUACGGCGGCGCUUCUCUCAGCGUCCCGCUCUGCGCGCAUGUCUUAUGCGGCGGCGCUGCCGGACAAGCGUGCAGCAGCUUCUCUUGCGGACUCAGAGCAGUCGGUAGCUUCCGCGCCGCCGCUCCCGAGCGCGGAUGCGACUCCGCUCGCUGCACUAGCGUGCCCGCCUUCUCUCGCCUCCCUCGACAAACCGCUCCGGCAGCGUCUGCUACGCCUCUUCACUCAGCUCACCCUCGCCACUCAGCAAUACACAACGCGAGUGGAGCCGACAGUGGUGCGCGUUGUGCGAGGCCACUACGAGGAGGUUGCGCACCGCUUAUGGGCUGAGAACGUCAACGCAAGAGUAUUUUUCCGUUUUUGCGACUUCGUUCUUAGGCAUGUCGGGCCGAUGUCGGCAUCCCUGCUUCACCCCGGGACAUCACUGAUGCUGGAGGAGGCGAUUCAAGGGUCGCUGAUCAGCACGGUGGGUAGCGAGGUGCUCAAGCGCGAUUUCGUUGCCCUCAUGGAGCGGCAGGAGUACCGCUCGCUGCGUUUGGCGUGGCGGCUGCUCUCUGUCAGUGCGCGGGUGCGCAGCUCUCCGCUUGUCGCCGAUUUAUUUCACGAGUACCUGAUGGACUGCGGCCAACGAAUCAUGGAGGAGCUGGUGCCGUCGUCGACCAAGGGCACACCCGCUGCGGCUCUGGUGCCUCCGUGCGAGCGGCCGUUCCUGGCAGUACGGCACCUACUUGGUCUGCUGGAGCAAGGCAGCCGCACCGUCGCGAAGUGCUUUUCGGAGUGCGAGAGGGAUUUCAAAGUGGCGCUGCACGAGGACCUGCAGACAAUCCUUGAGGCCUACCCACAGGCCUUCUCGGAGCAGCUUGCCGCCUACCAGGAUGCGAUUAUGAGGGAGGUCGAGGUGGGGCACGUGCCGGUUGGCUCUUCAAAACCGACGCCGCCGGUGGCGCUAGAGAAGAACGGAGAUGACGACAACGAUGACGAGGAGGACGUGUCGUCGUCGCCGCUGCGCCGGCCACGCCCCGAGGGGACUUCGCCGUCGUCGCGGCCUCCCGUUGCGGCACCUUCACCCGACCUCACACGGGCUGAGGAGGACGAAGGUGCUUCGUCGGGGAGGGAGGAGCCGACGGAGGUGGAGGACGCGGCGGAGGGCGACGCCGUGAUGGGUGCGGCCGCACUGCAUCACGCCGCGCCGCUUCCGACGGGAGUGAGGGAAGCGACGUCGGUGCUGCGCCGCAUCGCGCACAUCUACUCCUACCACCCCAAAAAGGACCUGUUCGAGGCGGCCUACUGGCGCGACUUUGCCAGGCGCUGCCUGCAUGCACACCGCAAGCUGAACAGCACCGCUGAAAACACAUUUAUUGGCUUCCUGCGCGACAUUUGCGGCCUCUCCUUCACCUCCAAGUUUGAGGGUAUGCUGACUGAUCUGACCUCGUCGACGGAGCUGACGACACAGUACAACACGUGGGUACAGGAGCAGGAGCGGUCGCUGCAGCAGCAGCAGCAGCAGCCGUCCGGCGAGGAAGGCGCUGAAACCUCGGCGGUGGGUCGACUCGUGCCGGAGGCGAAGAGCCUUGAUGCGCACCUCUUCAUCCUGACGCAGAGCUACUGGCCCGAAUGCCCGUCAAUGCCCAGCAACUUUUACGUACCACCUGCCGUGCGGGCCAUCACGCAACUAGUGGAGAAGUUCUACACCGGCCGGUUCCCGAACCGCCACCUCAGCUGGCAGCACCCCCUGAGCCACGCGACCCUGGUCGUGCGGCUCACACCGCAGAGCUCCACGCUGACGCUCACCGGCACGUACACGCAGUGCGUGCUGCUCAUGCAGCUGGACGCGCUCUACGACCGCGGUGUCACCUCCAUCACAGCCAAGGCACUGUGCGACGCUGUGGGGAUGGAUAUAGCCAACACAGAGCUCCUGGGGUCGCUGCAAGGACUUUGCCAUCCGCGAUUCCGCCUUGUCCUGCGCGCGGAGGCCGCCUCGUCGCCGCCUUCCGGCGAUGGGGCGCAGCGCACGUCUGCGGAGCUUGACAACGAGGACGACGAGAGCGCUGCGAGGGUCGAGGAAGCGGCCGCGUCAUGUGCGUCACCGCAGUCCUCCUCGCCCGGCACCGCCGCGGGUGCAUCCGCCGGCUGCACGUUAGCUGCCACAGACUUGCUGCAGCUGAACCUGGGCUUCACGUCUGCCACGAGCAAGGUGCGCAUUCCCUUUCAGACGCGCAUGCGCACCACGGCGUCUGCCGGCCUCGACGGCCCCAGCCGCGGCGGACGCACCGCCGACAAUGGCGGCCAUCUGGUGGAGGUGGCCAUCGUGAGUUGCCUUAAGGCGCAACGCACCAUGACGCGCAUAGACUUGGCGAGCGCCGUAGCAGCGCGGGUGCCGUUUCCGGUGACAACGGCAGUGUUAAAGAAGGCGAUUGACAAGAUGAUCGAGCGCGGCUUUAUGGUACGGGGUAAGGACAACGCAUACGUCUACUCGGCAUAGCCUCCCGCGUCACUCCAGUAGGACGUGUGUGUGUGGGAGGGGUGGACGGUUGCGGUCCGCAGAUGUGAUGGCUGUUGUUGCUGCGGUGAUGUCAGCAGCGCACGCACUUUCGUACGCGUUUCAGACUGGAUAACAGACAUGUUGGCAG
rnacentral:misc_RNA from 1 species